GUUAUCUACAGUUAAUCUGUUCAGCCAACCAAUGCUAAUCUUGAAUGCUUAAAUUUGAUUGGUCACAAAGAAAGCUUCUUAUUUUGAAUUUUUUCAGUUAACUUCAAUUUUUUAGUGGUAAUACAGCUCUUUCUCAGCUGACAUCUAUGAUGAUAAAAUAGGCAGUUUAACCAUUUUUUGAAGUAUUUCAGCAGUGUUAAUUAAAGGAUUCCUUAAUCAAUGACUUUUUCUGUCUCAAUUGCUAAGUGAAAACUCAUCAAGUGUAGUAGGAAAGCAUUAUUGGGAAAACAGAGAUUUAAAUUACCUCAGAUUCAAAGCCAAGGGUGAAACUCUGAAGAAAGUUAAAAGCUAAUUGUAACAAUCAGACAAGCAAAGACAUGGACAUGGACAAUUGCCACUUAAAUAUUAGUAGAAAAUUGCCAUUUAUAUAUUCUAUGCCUGUAAUGUAAAAGGUUCUUGAAUAUGGUUUUAUAUAAUAUAAUAACUUUCAUGGAUGCUUUAAUAUACAUUAAAGACCAAAAUGCUGAUUUAAACAGAACUUAAAUGCGAAGACUCUAGAAUAAGCUUGAAUUUGAGGUAUGUGUGUUAGUAAGACUUCAGCCAAAAAAUAUUUUAUGGAAUACAAGACAAACCCUAUGAUGCAUAGUUAAUGUUUUUGUAAUUAAAAAUUAUGGUUUGUAUAUCUUGAA